GAGUGUGUGCGAGUACCUUUA
rnacentral:piRNA from 1 species